CUUUGUGGUGACUGUUGGAGUAGGAGUGGUGCUCUCGUUACAAUAGUACAUCUUUAACGUCUUUUCUCCAACGGUAAAAGUCAAGCCAGCUUUCUUGGCUGAGAAACGGCAAAUCUCCGACUUUGUGUUAAAUGUGCUCUUUACGCUUGUUUCCUUGGAAAACGUUUGUCUUUAAUUGAGCGGCUGUGGCGAGAUGUCUGGACCUGUGUGACACACCUUUUCUCUGAAGUUCUUCACAGUCUUGAGGAAGAUGGCCUGUUGGACUUGGCAGGUUCUGUUCAUCUGUUUUGUGCCCACUAUGUUGUCCUUCCACGUCUGGCAGCGGCCCUGCAUAGCUUCACAGAAGGCUGGGACAACCAUCCCCUAAGGUCAGAAGGUGGACUCUCCCCAAACCAGCUCUGGGUUAUGGGUCACAUGAAGAACCGUUGUGACCCAAAUGAAGAUUUGCAGAAUGUGGAGCUAUUUGGAACAGACUGGGAAAUGUUUGAUGCUGUGCAAGAGGAACUAUAUGGUGUUCAAGUCCAGGAAAUUGACUGUCCUCUGGAUCCAUAUAUUAUGCAAACUGUACAGGCCAUGAUAAAUCCGUUGGCAUCAUCAGAAUCAUUUGGCCGAGACAUUUACAUAACAAUGAUUCAGUGUAUUGAAAAUCUAACGGCAACACAAGAAAUGACUGAGAUGUAAGACCUUGUAAAACAUUUGCAGGCAGUCUUGUUGGUUGGUUGUUUUUUUUUUUUUUUUUAAACUUUGGCAGGAACCAUUAUCAGAGAAAUACUGCUUUUAUAACACUUAAAAAAUUGAAACAGCAAGUUGUCUCCUGAAAAUGACAAAAGAAUAAAACAAUGUGAAAUGUCACAGUAACUUGGUUGUCUUACAUUAGACUGAGUGGUUACACCCUGUCAAAAGUUUGCCCGAGACAUACGGCUUGAGUCAGGAUGUUUUUGAACUCACUGUAUGUUUUCAGGUGAGCUGAGGGGAAUGUGACUGUUCGGCUGCAGGCGCUUACAGUUGGAAAACAAACAGUGUGUUGUGUGUCACAGUCAUGGUGGAAUUCCAUAGUUAUCACAAAGUCCUUUUUUUCACUUGGCAGAACAGGCUUGUGCCGUUGUCCAGUCAUCCACUGCAUGAUGCAUCCUGCGGUCAAACCUUCUGCAGUGAUGUUGUUGCUGGGGUCCUCUUUUUCUUAAUAAGGAGAUUAACAUAAUGUCAGUCUGAAUUGAAAGUAAUUCAUUUUAGUUAUCAAAAUUGAUAAAAUCACUUAUAUAAAAACACAAUAUACACAAAUGGUAUUGAACUUUGACAAACAGUGGAUAAAUCAA